AGGAGAAUGGGUGGAAAUGAGGAAGGCUGUGUGGCCAGGGCCACAGUCAACAGGACACUGGGCACUGGCUACCCAUCUUGUACCACUGACACCAUCACCAUCAUCUCUGCUACGGCUGCUGCCUGGAAACAGGAGAAGACCCGUCUGCUGUAGUUGCUGCCAUCACAAUGAAUUCUCCAUCAUCUCUGCCUUUUUUCCUUAUUAGCUUUCAAUUUACUGUCUGAGUCAGGUGUGUCUGAUUGACAGCCUAAGUCCAGUGCCCAAUUCCUAGCUGCAAGGGAGGCUGGGAAAGUGAACAUGCUGGUGACUUAUCUACUGACCUCAGCUCCAAGCCCAACCUUCCGUAUUCUUUCUUGUGAUGCUGGGAGCGGAACUCAGCCCACUAGGUUUCUCCUUAUCUUUUUCUAGUUGGCUUCAAGCUGGACUCAGAAUGGAAGCCACUGAGAGGACAGUGAUAGGUGAAAUAAGGGGACAACGGGCUUUCAUCCAUCCGGUUUCUGGCUCCUACCAAUUUCUAUCCAGCAGCAGAAAACUGUUACACCUACAGUCUCUGGAUUCUUCUGGCUCUCUCCAAAUCAGCUGAACUGCAAAUCCUCCCUCUACCCCCACCAAAGUUAGUACCAAGUACCAUUCAGCCCUCAGAGGUCUGAACACCAGGCGCAGCACAGGAGAGGAAACAGGCUCCAGCCCCAUAGCUGCUGCCUCUCUGUCCUCGCCAGAGGUGUCAGCCAGCUGCACCCGGGUCCCUUCUAUUAACGCUAGCUUCUCCCAAUAAUAAUCUCGUAUUCUCCUAAAUCUAGGAGUGAGGGGUGACUCAGCUUCUCCUUUUUCCUUCCACCCUCCCGGGACUCCUUCAACCAGUUCUCCGUGUUGACCCCUCCCUGUUUGGAAUGCUGGUGUGGGUUCCGUGUUCCUUACUGGACCCCGACGGACAGCCUGGCCCUUUCAGCUCUAUACUGAAAUACUCCCCCGCUCCCCGGAGGGAAUCCUUCAACUGCAGGAAUGAGACGCAGAUGAUGAAUAUUACAAAGCAAGAUGACAAACAGCCCUGGUUUCCAGAUUCCGGUUGCGGGAUCUGGCAACACCUGGCCAUGUUUCAGACCCGGAUUUUAGUUCCCGUUUUGCCACCAAUGUUCUGUGUGGUCACGGACAAGUCCGUUUCCCACUAGAAAUUGCCCUGGGGCUGGUGGAGCUCUCCAGGCCUCUCAGCUCAGGAUGCCUUGGACCUCCAUCUGGGCUUCCCCUCGGCAUUUCUGAUUUUGGAGGCAGCUCUGAGGAGAGAAGGAGGAGAGGGAGAUGAGGGGCCUGGGUCUGCACUGUACUUUGGGAAACACCUACAGGGUCCACUUGACAUAUCUUCCGGGGUCUAAAGGGAAAAGUGACACCCCACAGUCAGCAC
rnacentral:lncRNA from 1 species